UCCAACAAAGUGUUUGUGGCUAGUUUGCUGGCGGAUGCUAAGAAGUCUAGAUACAGCAAAGCAAAAAGACAAUCCAAUAGAGCUGGUUCAGAAACUACAAUUAACUUCGGGAUUAUUUUAGUCGGUGGCGUCAGCUGAAGUUCACCAAGGGGAUGAAAAGCGACACAGACUUGGCCUGUUUUCUGUUGGUCCUUCACACGUGGAGCCACCUUGUCUCCCCAUCGUAUCCUGAUUUCACCUCGUUUGACCCUGGUUUACCAAUCCUGCUGCAUCUUCCACCGUCUUCCUUCAGCAAGGAAGUAGAGAGGUGUCCGGAAGAAGAGGGCACCUUUUUCCCCCCCCUUAAAGCGGCUUGUUCGCAGGCCACCAUAAAUCAAGAGAAAACAAACAGCGAACACAGAGGCCUUGCCACUGCUCGGCACUGGCCGCCUCCUAAUCAAACGAAGCCGGACUGUUUUACAAUGAGGAGUUAGAGCGCAGCCUCCUGUUUCUGAUCAUGCAAACCUGUUUAAGCAAGACCCUGUGGAUGCUGACUGGUCUAUAAAUAUUCUGCUUUCGCAAGUGCGCAACCCUACACCUACAGCUUAUUGAUAGCCACCAGAGCAACUGUUCAGUUAAGCUUUUCUGUGUUCCCACUGGCACCGAAAGCCCAUUGUAAACACUGUGUUAGACUUUCCUGAUUCCUUUAAGUUUUUUAAUGAAUCAGCUAUGGUUCUAUGUGCUAAUAAGGAGCAAGCUCUGGUUGUUGUGCCACGGUGAAUUAAGUUAAAAUAAAAACAAACAAUUUCUUUUCAAAGUGCAUUAAUGGCUCUAGGCUGGCUGAUCCAGCAAUCUUACACUUCUCAUUAAUUUUGUCAUCGAAUUACAAAAUCAUUGAAGUGAUAUAUGAACGAUAGUAAAUAUAUCAGUAAAUAGACCGAUGUUAAAAUCUUAUUAAAGAGCCAAAUUUGACUGCACUUGAGGGAAUACACUGGAGAAAUUUUAAUAACAGUCAGAAUUACUGCUCUCAAUGGCAUGAGCUCACUGUGACUCAAAAAGUUAGGUAUGGUAUAUCGACAGCAUUUUAAUGAGUGUAACGAUUUCACUCUUGAAUCACAGCCAUUUCUGUUAUUUGUGUGAACAUUUGUUCAGCCAGUGGUGGUAAGUAAUCUUUAUGUAAUCACCAUUUAGGCACCAUUGUGUGCCUAGCUCAAUGUAGACUUGUAUUGAUUUAGUAUUUGUGUCUUUAAAAUGUUCCUUCCUGAUUCCAACUGGGAGUUUCCCUUAUGCCCAAAUUAAAUUUAAAAAGGUAAUAAGUUAGCUGACGUUAAUCUCCAACACAGACCUUGUUCUGAGCUAGAAAACAGUUGAUUGCAAAAAAGGUGAAGGUUAUUUUUCUGUGCACGUUCACACACUGGAAACACUAAAGCACAAUGUACUAUAAGUAUAUUUUGUCGAAUUGAAAAAAGAGUGGAAUAGACCAUUCUCACAGAUAUAAACAGGUUUUAAUUAGUAUUUUAGUAAAGCUAAACUGUGUUUUUAAGUUUGAAUAAUAAUAGACUGUGUUUUUACAUGUUUUAAUAAAGUUAGGCUGUGUACAAAA